ensembl:lincRNA D930016D06Rik RIKEN cDNA D930016D06 gene
UGCCUCCUCCCACAUCGUUGAUAAGAGAGAUUUGUACAACUCCUGUGUGCCAGGCCCUGGUCAAAGCUGAUGGUCUCUCCUCUCCCUCACAGACUGCCUCUAAGCUCUUCAGAUUCAUGAAUUUUAACAAGUCCAUGAGCCAGCUCUCAACCAUGUCAUGAUGUGCCAAAAAAACCUGAUGUUCUUCACUGUUUCCUUGGCAUAUGCCCAGUUGGCAUUCAGUUGGAUGACUUAGGUACCUUCCAGGUAUAUGUAAGUAUUUUCAGAUCAUAAAGGAAAAAAUUAAUGCUCCUGCCUUCUCAAUAAUGUUUGUUAGUUAUCCACCUUGUGUUAAAAAUACGAGUAAAUGACCUAUUUCACAAACCCACCCAAGAAAUUAAGAAAAAUGUGAAUUACUGAUGCUUAGGAAAGCAUUACUCAUGAACCAGGCAUGGUGGAGUGAGCUGAUAGCACCAGUACUAAGAAGUGGAGACAGGAGGAUAGGAGUUUGAAGUCACCUCCUUCUGUAUAGCAGGUUCAGCUCUCAGUAGUGAGAGGUAAUGAAGCAGCUGUAAGAACACAAGUACUGUUGAAAUGACCAACAUCUUCUGAACAUUGAGUGCAGC